GAUGAACGCUGGCGGCGUGCCUAAUACAUGCAAGUCGAGCGGACCAAAGAGAGCUUGCUCUCUGAGGUUAGCGGCGGACGGGUGAGUAACACGUGGGUAACCUGCCUGUAAGACGGGGAUAACUUCGGGAAACCGAAGCUAAUACCGGAUGAUAAAGAGAAACGCCUGUUUCUUUUUUGAAAGUCGGCCUUGUGCUGACGCUUACGGAUGGGCCCGCGGCGCAUUAGCUAGUUGGUGAGGUAACGGCUCACCAAGGCGACGAUGCGUAGCCGACCUGAGAGGGUGAUCGGCCACACGGGGACUGAGACACGGCCCAGACUCCUACGGGAGGCAGCAGUAGGGAAUCUUCGGCAAUGGACGAAAGUCUGACCGAGCAACGCCGCGUGAGCGAUGAAGGCCUUCGGGUCGUAAAGCUCUGUUGUCAGAGAAGAACAAGUACCGGAGUAACUGCCGGUACCUUGACGGUACCUGACCAGAAAGCCACGGCUAACUACGUGCCAGCCGCCGCAGUAACAC
rnacentral:rRNA from 1 species